rnacentral:rRNA from 1 species
UACGGGAGGCAGCAGUGGGGAAUAUUGGACAAUGGGCGAAAGCCUGAUCCAGCCAUGCCGCAUGAGUGAAGAAGGCCUUCGGGUUGUAAAGCUCUUUUAGUGAGAAAGAUAAUGACGGUACUCACAGAAGAAGUCCUGGCUAACUCCGUGCCAGCAGCCGCGGUAAUACGGAGAGGGCUAGCGUUAUUCGGAAUUAUUGGACGUAAAGAGCGCGUAGGCUGAUUAGUAAGUUAAAAGUGAAAUCCCAAAGCUUAACUUUGGAAUUGCUUUUUAAAACUGCUAGUCUAGAGAUUGAAAGAGGAUAGAGGAAUUCCUAGUGUAGAGGUGAAAUUCGUAAAUAUUAGGAGGAACACCAGUGGCGAAGGCGUCUAUCUGGUUCAAAUCUGACGCUGAGGCGCGAAGGGCGUGGGGAGCAAACAGGGAUUUAGAUACC